UCCCUGGAGGACUAGUGGUUAAUCCUCGGCGUUCUCACCGCCAUGCCCGGGGUUCGAUUCCCAGCCAGGGAA